GCAAUGGCGGCGCCGCUGGCAGCCAGCGUGGGCCGCGGGCUUUCCAAAAUCACCGCCUUUCACCCCAAAACUGCGGCUCUCGGGGCAGUGUGACGGCCUUUCGCCUUCAGGCGGGCGAGCGCGGGGCCGCCUGCGCGUUGCAGAUCCCAGUUGUGGUACUUGAUGCUUAAUCGAGGUGGAUAUCCUGGAUGUGGCCUGGAUGAGCCCCUGAGGCGGCCUGGCCGGCAGGAGCGGACACCGGGAGCCAGGAAAACCCUUCUGACCUGGAGGAGCGGGCACCGGGAGCCGUCAUCCUCCUGGCCAGCUUCCGCUGGCAGGGAUUGGGAAGGACACCAGGAGCCAGUGGCGUCCUACGUGCGGAUUACUGGAGUGGGAGGAAUAUCCCCUCUAUAUAAAUUAGAUAGGUACGCCUUUACAGAAACAGCUUUGAACACCGGGUCCGGGCAGAUUUGGGUUGUCAGGGUAUUCAAAAGACCACGCCUUGUGUAUCCCUGAACAGAGAGACACAGAUUUUGGACACAGUUCUCUGCCCAAUCCCACCAGAGAGAGUGGCUGCCUGGGGCUUGGCUGCUGGUGGGGGUUAAACCACUGCAACCUGUCAGAGAGGAGGUGGAUGCCCCUUCCCUGGAAACAUCAAGACCAGGCUGGACAAGCCUCUGAGCAACCUGCUCUAGUUGAAGGUUCCCUGCUCACUGCUGGGGAUUGGAACCAUACGGCCUUUAAAAGUCCCUCCCAAUCCAAGCCAUUCUGAUUCCAUGAUUCAGGCAAAAGCAAAGGAAGGGUAUUUUGAUUGUCUUGGAGAUAAGGAGAUGCAGACCCACAGGACCAGACUACAGCCAGCUCAUCCAGCUCAAAGUCUCCCCUGCAGCACCAGUGAAUGUGUCAAAGACAAGAAAUAAAUCAUAUUAAUUUAAAGCACUGUGCAAAUGAGGGUCCAGAUGCAAAGGCUUAGCUUUUAUACUCCCUCUCUCCUACUCUUCUAGAUCCUUGAAAUGUCCACACAUAGGAAAAAUAAACCCAUUUGAUUUAAAAACCACAGCUUAUUGUUUGGGACAGCAUCAGAGACUUCUCCAUCUUUAAAAUGGGAAUUCUGCAGAAUGGACUGGCCCUGAUAUGCAUCAAGACACAAACAUGGCUGUUGGCUCUUUUUGCACCCUUCCUGCACUUGAAUUGACAGCUAAAGAUUAGAAGAGGGGAAGAACCCAUCCUAUAGUUCAGGCAGAAGAUCUGAGGUGUGCUAGAUGGGACAAGGAAAUGGGAUGUGCCAAACCUACCAUGGAUUGAAAGCUUCAGGUUGGUGCAGCCAAUGGGUUUCCUGCAGGAUGGAGAAGCAUGAGGUUAAUUAAUGGAAAUCUCACAGCAGGUAAACAAGUCUGGAGAAGAUUUAUCUGGCCCUGCAGACAGCUGUAGAUGGGGAUUGAGAGGUUGGCACAACAAAGCAUUGAGGGACAGCACCUGCAGGGCACAGCCAUGCUCUGCCCUAUGUGCCCAAGGGAACCUUUUGCACGUCUGAGCCCUUCAGCCUCAGUCUCAAAAACAAGUCAGGAAUAUAACUGUGGUUGCCCCAAGGUCUGCAGCAGGGUGCUGACAGA